rnacentral:rRNA from 1 species
UACGAAGGGGGCUAGCGUUGUUCGGAUUAACUGGGCGUAAAGGGUGCGUAGGCGGGGUUUUAAGUCAGGGGUGAAAUCCCAGAGCUCAACUCUGGAACUGCCUUUGAUACUGGGGAUCUCGAGUUCGGGAGAGGUGAGUGGAACUGCGAGUGUAGAGGUGAAAUUCGUAGAUAUUCGCAAGAACACCGGUGGCGAAGGCGGCCAACUGGACCAUUACUGACGCUGAGGAGCGAAAGCGUGGGGAGCGAACAGG